UACGUAGGGGGCGAGCGUUGUCCGGAUUCAUUGGGCGUAAAGAGCUCGUAGGCGGCUUGGCAAGUCGGGUGUGAAAACUCCAGGCUCAACCUGGAGAUGCCACCCGAUACUGCUAUGGCUUGAGUUCGGUAGGGGACCACGGAAUUCCUGGUGUAGCGGUGAAAUGCGCAGAUAUCAGGAGGAACACCGGUGGCGAAGGCGGUGGUCUGGGCCGACACUGACGUUGAGGAGCGAAAGCGUGGGGAGCGAACAGG
rnacentral:rRNA from 1 species